AAAGGGUCCGUAGGCGGUUUGAUAAGUCAGUGGUGAAAGCCCAUCGCUCAACGAUGGAAUGGCCAUUGAUACUGUCAGACUUGAAUUAUUAGGAAGUAACUAGAAUAUGUAGUGUAGCGGUGAAAUGCUUAGAUAUUACAUGGAAUACCAAUUGCGAAGGCAGGUUACUACUAAUGGAUUGACGCUGAUGGACGAAAGCGUGGGGAGCGAACAGGAUUAGAUACCCUUGU
rnacentral:rRNA from 1 species